UACCCACUGGGAACCAUGAAAUUGGUUCUCACCCCACGUUGUUUUGGGGUAUUACAGGUUCGCACGUGAACGGCGCGGCGGCGCGAGGAAAGGGCGUAGCUCAGUAGAUAGCGCCCUACCCAGAGACCGAGGUAGCAGUACCCUGAGGCAGCCUAGCUUAGGGGACUAAAGGGAAAUGAAAAGAACACAAUGUAUGAAACUGUAAUAAGUAAAUGAUGCAAUAACUUAGAUUGUAUUUGGAGGAAUCAAAUGAGAACUGUGAUGUAAAAAUGUAUGAAUGUAAAUGUAUGUAAUAACAUAGGAUGUGUUAUGUUGUUGAUACCUUCAUUAUGCAAUCUGUUUGUUAAGUACUGUUCCUGGUUGGAACCUUUGUAUUAUAUUGAUUGCGAUGCCUUGAACGUACAGGGGAGACUCUGUCCGCAGUACAGGGAAAACCCUGUCCGU
rnacentral:lncRNA from 1 species